GACGAACGCUGGCGGCGCGCCUAACACAUGCAAGUCGAACGGAGCUGAGAGAAGCUUGCUUUUCUUAGCUUAGUGGCGAACGGGUGAGUAACGCGUGAGUAACCUGCCCUGGAGUGGGGGACAACAGUUGGAAACGACUGCUAAUACCGCAUAAGCCCACGAUCCGGCAUCGGAUUGAGGGAAAAGGAUUUAUUCGCUUCAGGAUGGACUCGCGUCCAAUUAGCUAGUUGGUGAGGUAACGGCCCACCAAGGCGACGAUUGGUAGCCGGACUGAGAGGUUGAACGGCCACAGUGGGACUGAGACACGGCCCAGACUCCUACGGGAAGCAGCAGUGGGGGAUAUUGCACAAUGGGGGAAACCCUGAUGCAGCGACGCCGCGUGGAGGAAGAAGGUUUUCGGAUUGUAAACUCCUGUCGUUAGGGACGAUAAUGACGGUACCUAACAAGAAAGCACCGGCUAACUACGUG
rnacentral:rRNA from 1 species